rnacentral:rRNA from 1 species
UACGAGGGGGGGCAAGCGUUGUUCGGAAUUACUGGGCGUAAAGCGUGCGCAGGCGGCUUUGCAAGACAGAUGUGAAAUCCCCGGGCUUAACCUGGGAACUGCAUUUGUGACUGCAUGGCUGGAGUGCGGCAGAGGGGGAUGGAAUUCCGCGUGUAGCAGUGAAAUGCGUAGAUAUGCGGAGGAACACCGAUGGCGAAGGCAAUCCCCUGGGCCUGCACUGACGCUCAUGCACGAAAGCGUGGGGAGCAAACAGG